rnacentral:rRNA from 1 species
AUUGAACGCUGGCGGCAGGCCUAACACAUGCAAGUCGAGCGAGCGGCGGACGGGUGAGUAAUGUAUGGGGACUGCCCGAUCGAGGGGGAUAACUACUGGAAACGGUGGCUAAUACCGCAUACUAUGGGAUAACCCAUACUGGAUUAGCUAGUCGGUGGGGUAAAGGCUCACCUAGGCGACGAUCUCUAGCUGGUCUGAGAGGCUGAUCAGCCACACUGGGACUGAGCCACGGCCCAGACUCCUACGGAGGCAGCAGUGGGGAAUUUUGCGCAAUGGGCGCAAGCCUGAUGGAGCCAUGCCGCGUGUAUGAAGAAGGCCUUAGGGUUGUAAAGUACUUUCGGGGGGGAAGCGUUACCCGCAGAAGAAGCACCGGCUAACUCCGUGCCAGCCGCCGCGGUAAUAG